rnacentral:rRNA from 1 species
UACGGGGGGAGCAAGCGUUGUUCGGAUUUACUGGGCGUAAAGGGCGCGUAGGCGGCGCAGCAAGUCACUUGUGAAAUCUCCGGGCUCAACCCGGGAACUGCGUCCGAUACUGGAAGGCUUGAAUCCGGAAGAGGGAAGCGGAAUUUCCGGUGUAGCGGUGAAAUGCGUAGAUAUCGGAAGGAACAUCAGUGGCGAAAGCGGCUUCCUGGUCCAGCACCGACGUUCAGGCACGAAAGCGUGGGGAGCAAACAGG